UUUCAGGCUUUUGCUUCAGCUCCAAUUAUAAACUUUUAAAUGCUGCUUAUGCCUGGGCUUCUGAUUCGACAGCUUUGUGCUUUAACCUCCACCAAAGAUCUACUCAUCCCCGUCCCAUCCCCUGCAAUCGCAGGACGCUGACUGUCCUGGGAUAUGUGCCAUCUUUGCCUGAUUCCUCUUUGGUGCCCUGGAGGAAGAUGAAACACUCUGAGGUGAGUGAGCCCUGGAGGAAAUUCAGGCCUGUCCUCAAGCUGGCAACAGCUCAGGUUCGCCUUGGCAUCUGCUUCCUGAGUCAGGUUCAACGACACAAGUUUGUCUACUUACCGUACUGGAUUUGAGCUCAUCCCCAUUUUCCUCUUCGGAUUCUAGUGCAACAGCUGUUGGGUCUCAAGUAGUCUCCGCCUCGUCCCUCCAGCAACAUCUGGAUGUCCCCACCCCUCUCUUCGUCCACCGAGACCUGUCUGGAGAAAUGGGCGCUCUUGGUCCUGCAGACCUAUUUGCACUCUGCUUGUUCUCACAGUGGGCUUCUCAGAGAAACCAACACCAUCACACAGGACCACAAGAGGGAAAAUGUGACUUUGCCAUGCUUGGGCUAUGCUGCACACGAGAGAGACUCUGGCUCAAGAAGGCAAGUCGGGAAAGAAGUUAUGGUCAGGAAAUAGCGGAAGUCUGUUUGCUGUUUCUGAAGCAGUACGGAACCAGACUCAAGCCACCCCCCAGAUCCAAGUUGUCUCCCUGAAAGAUGUCUCCAAGCAGAGGUCACUUCCAGAGCAGAAUCUUUAGCCAGGUUCUUGGGAAUAUUAACCUGAGCCUGGAUAAGUGAUGUAGUAUGGUAACAUUUUAUUGUA